GCAUAUGGAGGUUCCCAGGCCAGGGGUCGAAUCGGAGCUGUAGCCACCGGCCUACGCCAGAGCCACAGCAACUCGGGAUCCGAGCCGCGUCUGCAACCUACACCACAGCUCACGGCAAUGCCGGAUCGUUAACCCACUGAGCAAAGGCAGGGACCGAACCCGCAACCUCAUGGUUCCUAGUCGGAUUCGUUAACCACUGCGCCACGACGGGAACUCCUCAAAUGCAGUUUAUAGUUUGCUUUGUACCCAAGCCCCAGAGGACUUUUUGGGUGGUGGGUGGAGGAAGGGAAUUGGAGGUCCUGAUGAAAUUCAGAUGCACUGUUGACUCCAGGAAUGGGAAGGAGCUAGGGCCUCUGGGAUAAAAAGAGCAUUUCAAAGGGGGUUUCCAACCAAUUAGAUUCUGUGGGAAUGACAAAAUAUCUCUCUGAAAAUGAAAAUGUGUUCAUGAAUUCCUUGAAUCAGCCACUCUAACCAAUGUGUAACCUGGCUGCUCCUGAACUAUCAGGGUGAGAGUAGGAAAGAGGAAUUUUAAAUAGCGCAGAGGGCUAAGUUCUGACUGAAGCUUCCUCGCCUGUGGAGAGAAGCAGUGCAGGGGUGGUGGCAGAAGGUAAGGGUAACGAAGGCACCAUCUGGUGACUCUGCUAUUGUCAUUCUGGCCUCUGCUGCUAAGACUCAGUUACCAAGGCCCACCCUUUUCAGCUGAACUUCAUGGCUUCUGUUUACACAGUCUGUUUCCUGCCCCUCUUCUGCUGGAGGGGAAGCCCGGGGAGGGAGAAGAAAAGGGGCAGGUUGGGACCUUGGACCUUCAGCCCACUGUCUACAAAAUGCCAACUUAACGUUUUAAAAAUGAUCAUCGCAAAUGUGCUCCCUGUAGUAGGCCGAGGCAUAACCCCUGAGCUGGUCACAUUCUAGUCCCUUACUGUGCCGUAUAAUCGCAGAUGGCAAAAGGCACUUUGCAGAUGUGAUUAAGGAUUUAGAGAUGGGAGAGCAGCUUGCAUUAUCCAGGUGAGCUCAGUCGUGUAAUCACGGGGGUCCCUUCAGGAGGGAGGCAGAAGGAGAAACUGCUGGCAAGGAGGAGGUGUGAUGGUAGAAACAGCCAUUGGAGUAAGUGUGUGCUUUGAAGAUGGAAGAAGGGAGCAUAAGCCAAGACAGGGCCAUAACACAGGUGGCUGAAAAAGGUAAGGAAGCAGGGUCUCCCUUCAGAGGCUUAAGGAACAACCAGACCUUCUGACACCUUGACUUUAGCCCAGAGAAACCAAUGCCAGACUUCUGAUCUUCAGAACUGCUAAAAAAUACAUUUGUGGUAUUGUAAGUCCCUAAAUUUGUGGUAAUUAGUGCCAGCAGCUAUAGGAAACUCACACACUACCCGAAGGGCAAUUUUUUAUGACACAGUUAUUGUAUUAUUUCCUUUUGGAAAAGUUCACAUAACAUUUGUGGGAAUAUGCCUCUUGUGCAAAUGUUCUCCCACACUUCAUUUUUUCUUUCAUUCUUUUUUAAAGUAUAGUUGAUUUACAAUGUUGUGCCAGUUUCUGUCAUACAGCAAAGUGACUCAGUCAUACAAAUAUAUACAUUCUUUUUUCUCAUACUAUCUUCCAUUAUGUUCUGUCCCAAGAAAUUGGAUACCCUGUGCUAUACAGUAGUACCUCCUUUCUUGCCCAUUCUAAAUAACAGUUGCAUCUACUAACCCCAAACUCCCCGUCUCUCCCACUCCCUCCCCCACCCCUUGGCAUCCACAAGUCUGUUCUCUGUGUUUGUGAGUCUCUUUCCGUUUUGUAGAUAGGUUCGUUGGUGCCAUAUUUUCUUUACGAGGGUAACUAAGGGAACUUAUUUAAGCAAUUUAGAGGGAAUGACUGGGAUGAGUCAUAUAACUAAGGCAUUUAAGAGGGUCAGGGAAAAUUUAGUCUAACUAUUUUACAAAUGAGUUAAUUGAGACUAAAGGCUGGGCCUCCUGACUGCCAGUCUAAUGGGGGGUAGAUGAAGCAAGUGGCUGGCUGCCCCUCUUUCUGGCCUCCUGGGAACUUCCUGCCUCCUUUCUGAAAAUGGCUCAACUCUCUCAGUUGCUGCCAUAUGUGAUUGUACGUUGUUGGGAAUGACGAGGCCAGGAACAGCUCUGAUUUUGUUAAGGAUAAGAAGGGGGUUGAAGGAACAGGCGCCCUGGGAAUCAAGUUAUUUUAAAAAAUUAUUCCAAAUGCAUAGUUAUCACCACAGAACUGCAAUAUAUACUCUGUUCUAAGCCUUCAUUAAGAAAUGAAAGGAAUUUUCUCUGAACCUCAGCACGAAGCCUUGAAAUCCAAUCCCUGUUCUUUGAAUGCAAAGUCUGGAAAGGAAAUGGAAUGCCAUAAAUUACCUCAAUUAAACCUUUUUCUUUGUCUUUUGUUCUGUUCUUUGGGAAACUAAUCCAGGGAGGACAAGAAUGCAGCAGAAAUCAAACUUGCUCAAAUGAUUUGAAUACUCCCAAACCUGAGCCUAAUUAUAACCUUUGUUUACCGUUGUAGACUGCUGUCUCAGAUAAAGGAGGGUUCUUGAGGAGUUUGGGGCUAUUGGGAGGCUUUUAAAGUGUGUUUUUUUCAAGUAGGUGGUAGAUACACCUGUGCAUUUAAAAAAGAAUGGAGUAAUACCAACCUAAAGUUUCCUGCGAUUUUAAAGGGGCAGAGGGAGCUCUGGGAAUGUUACACCCUUGCUUCCAGUAGCUUCUGUAGAUCCUGGCCACAGUCUAUGAGGCACAUAUUGUUAUUUUAUUCUACUUGUGGAGAAGUUGUAGUUCAGUGAGCUAAAGUGAGCAAUUUGAAAAGAAUUCAGGUCUCAAGACUGCGGAUUGAGAGACCAGGCAGUUUAUAAUUCCCUUAGGUUCCAGGGCAGGCCACGUGAGGGCAAGGGGCAAACGCAGUGUCAAACCUUCCCAGUUCAGGGUUUUAGAUAUAUACGCCGUCAUUGAUGAACAUUUUAAUUGUAUAACUAUCUUUUUAAAAAAAUCCCAUUGCUGAUUUACUUAUAUUAAACUUUCCCGCAUUUAUAAUCUGUUAUUCAAGCAUCAGUGUGCUCAUUGUAACACGUCUUCAAGGUAAACAAGACUAAAAGCCUCGAUAAUCUCCUAUACUUUUCCCCAGGUUCAUACAAUGUAGAACGUUCGUUUUAAGGAAAAGCAUUGCCUCACGUAGAUCCUAUUGAACAGAGGAAAAUGGAUACCUAUUUAAAUAACUAUUAUUCAUAUGUACGUCAUUGCCCCUAAAGCACUGCCUGGACUUUGAUCUCUUCAAGAGUUAAAGCAUUUCCCUGCAGUUUUGUUUAUCCUCAACCGGGUGUGGGUUACCUCACACGGGAAUGGAAUCGCUCACUCCUGAAUGAAUGAGAUUUUGAUCUAUUCCAGUCUUUCCACUGCACCUCAGGCAUAGGUAACUCCACUCACCUGAACUUUUAUGCCCCGAGAAUGGCUAAGUAUCUAAGUAUCAGAGUCCCUGAGGAAGCAGCUCCUUGGGCUCUGGGGAAGACGUUUUGUGGGGGUUAGGCCUCCUUCAUAGAAGGAACUGCUGCCCUUGUGGUUGGCAGGUCCACAAAAGCCUGUUGAAACAAGCUGUCACCCCUCUUUGGAAUUUACCCUAGGCAGUGCCCAACUUCCCAGGUGGUUCCUGGCUUGUCUGUGGAUGUUGCUUCUCAGGCAGCCCCUUGGAAGUGUCCUCAGCCUUCCGUGAGCUCUGAGUUUGUCCCUUCUUCCCUCUGUUUCCUCUUCCUCUGGAAUUGGAACUGGAGUUCACUCGUGCUCCAGAAUUCCUAACCCUGGCCCAGCUUGUUCCCCACCUCGUCACAGCAUUGGUCACCUGCAUGGAGGGCUGGCAGUGGUCUGCUAAUGGUCCUAACACAUCACCUCUGCGUAUUUUCAAGAAUAGAGUUCCAGAGGCCAAACUGCAUAGUAGACAAAGCCUUUUGGUUGAAUAUUUUUUGUUUACCCUUUCAGACCUCUGCUCCGCAAUCCUGGAGGCUGUGUGCAGUGACUGACUCUUUCCCCUCUGGCUUCCAGUUGGACAUGAGCACUGGGAGACCCUGGAGGAGAUGGGAGGGCUGCAGGACAGUGAGGGGGGGUGCUCUCUCCCCCAGACCCCCUGGCGCCACCCCACAAGUUGCUGUGGUCAGUCUGUUUCCUCUGCUGCUGAAGACCACGGCUCUUCUGGGUUCUCCACUCUGUCCCUGUGGGCCUAGUGUGAUAAGGCCUCCUUGGUGCCCUGCUGUGGCCUGGGGUCCCUGUCCUUUGUCUAAACCCUUGUCAGUGGCCUCUGUCUUACCCUUUCCUCUUUGUCCCUGUUGGCCUGAGCCAUCUGUUUUCUGCCAGGACCAGAGUCUCUGGCCCCCUUUUUCCUAAGUGUCCCCCAUUCUUGGCCAUGAGUGGCCCCCUUGCCUCCUCUAUGUGUUAGUACUCACAUCACCACGUCUCUUUCCCCAGUGCCCAUGGUUUGAGCAACUGUCAUCAGUCGUUUCCAUCUUAGUCAGGAAUUAGCUCAGAAAGUAGUGUCAGAACCAGAAGCCAUUGGGAAAGUCACAUUGUUUAACGGGUCUCUUCUGAAAUAUGAAGAAAAUAGAGCAGAGAAGAUAGGUGUGUUGCUCACGGUGUCUGGAUACUACCUGGCAGCUGGUCCUCUGUUCUUUGCUCUGUACAGUGCAGAGACUGGGGAUAGAUGUCCCGAACUGGAGAUGUCUUCAGAAAUGAAGGUCAGAAGAUGCCACCUUCUGAAACUGAAACCAGUAAGACCUAACAUCAAAUAGAUGAAAAGUCAUCCC
rnacentral:lncRNA from 1 species